UUCAGCAGCCUUCGUAAGCCUUCCUCACUCAGUAAAACCUCCGACAGCCCCUGGGGAGAGACAAUCCCUGGCUAUCAUUCUGAACUAACGCUGAACUUCAAGCCACCGUGACACCUCCACGUGACCAUGGAAAUUGUCUGAGUGCUGAGAAGCAUGAAUGGGCCAACCACCUGAGAAUCACACCAGGGUAGGAUGAGCACGUUCCUAAAGCCUCUGCCUGCAGGGAGGGAGAUAGGAAAUGCACAUGAAACGGUGGACAAUUAUCAAUGCAACAGUGCAAAGGAUGACGCAGGGCUAAAUUUUAUACAGGUCAGGUACACAGAGGUGGAAAACACAUCUGUGAGCCAUGGCAGUCUAGGAAGUGUUCACCGGCGAGAUGGGAAUUGAGUGCUGAAGUAGGUGUGAGUUUAUGUAUACAGACGGGUGUGUUUUGAAAAAGGAAUCAUGAAUAAACCAUUUAGUUGUCCGCCUUCCUCAUCUCACCGUUAGCCAACCAAAGACAUAAAAUGUAUCUCUCUGUGGUCCAAGUCUCUACAUAGUAACCAGGAAAAGGCCCAGAGAAAGCUUUUCCAGUUUAAGUUAUAAUCAUUGAGGGUGGAAAACUGGUGAGAUGGCAAAAUGAUUGUGCAUGAAGAAGGUCCCUGAUCUUGUCUGUGAAGCUUGGCUAUGCCCAGCUCCAUUGACUAAGGGUCAGGUCACUAUUACAACCUCUCCACGUGAAGGUGAUGCUACGUGUAUAGGCAAUUCCAGGGACACCCUCUCUGGUUUUUUAAAAAAUACUUCAAAUAUAGCAUUGAGUUAGUUGGCCUCUCCAUCAAAAGGACAACAGCACGUGAUAAAAGGAGGGCUGCCGUGGGAGGACUCCUGGGACAACAGGCUAGGUUAAACAUUAGCAUCUGAAAAGAAAACUAGUCGGAAACUUGAGAUACUGGAGGAUUUCAGGAAGGGAAGGCCUCGUCUGAGACCACAGAGGGGCUGCCAACAAUGACCGUGAUGCCUCAGUUCAAGGAAAUGGGCAAUCCCAGAGUGCACGAUGGAGAAAAAUGUUCUUAACUGUUUCCUCUGGAAAUCACCCCUGAAGGGAUGCCAGGCUCUUCUAGAAUCUCUACUCACUGGUGCUUCUAGCCUGCUGGAUGGGUGAGAGGUAAAGUACAGACCUGAUGGGAAAAGUAGCAGAGUCCAUGGCUCUUCCUCUAACCCCUCCACUCAUCUGCUAACUGGAAAAUUCUCCUGGGUCGGGUCCCACGAGGUCACACGGAUUUCUCAUUUCACAUGGACCGGAAGAGAAGCCACUGAUGAAACACCAGAGGAGAGAUUUUCCAACAUGGUGUGAUUUCGGAGACCCCUUCUGUCCCAUCACGAAUAUGUCACAGUCCCCCAAAUCCUCCCCGCAAGAGGUCCCCGCAGGUGUCCCAGCCUCAGAGACUUCGGACCCCUUUGGAGAGACCAGUGAGGCGUGCGUUUACUAGGAGGGAUGGAGCUUGCUUCCCUGACAUACCCUAAGCCUCUAGAAUAGCACCUGCCUGCCCUUGGUGCUGAGAAACGAUUGAGUAAACAGAGCUGCUUUCGGGUCUUUCCUGGCCAAAGAUCAGAAGUGAGGGGAGAGAAAGGAAAGCAGCUCUGAGGGCAUGUGUUUCACAAUUUGGGCUUCCAGAUCCACCUUCAUUAUCAAGAGGGAUCUGUUACAGAACACCCAUCGGACCAGUGGCUCCCACUUGGAGAGAUUGUAUCAAUUGGGCUGUAGCUAUUAUAAGACUGCCCAAACAUUGUCUGUUGUCUGAUCAGUAAUAUCUGUCCAUGCAAACAAGCCCGAUUAUUUCCCAAAUCAAUGUAAAUGGGGCUGGGAUUAAUAAAUAUAAAUCAGUUUUUAAAAUGACAGAAUAUCUAGAGACCUUCAGUCACUGUGUGUCGAUGAACCCUGCGAGUAUAAACACAAGCAGAUACUUCGUUAUUUUCUUGACAUUCAAAAGGCAUCAGAAUGUUUGGAAAUGACUGCUCUAGACCUAUCCACUCAUUUCACAGAUAACGUUUCAUGGAUACUCUUGGAGAAGGACCCGGACCUGCCCACAGUCAUUCAGCCCUUUGGUGGCAGGGCCAGGUAUCAACAGAGGACAUCUCUGCCCUUUUCUUUCCACCACAUUCCCUUAGGUGGCAUCUUCCUAAACACCCUGAUCUGAAAGGCCUGCCCAAGUCAACCUAAUUUAUUUCUGGAACAGAAGUACUCGUGGCAGGGACUGUGUGCCGGACAUUCAUGAUGACCACUGCCCUCCCAUCAACUCAACGGGGCAGGUGAUAUCAUUAUCCUCGUUUUAUAAGUUUCAAAAAAAAUGGUGGCUGGAGGGGCUCCAUCAUUGCCACAUGGUUAGCAAGUUGCAGAGACAGAUGCAAACUGACUCCAAAGCCCAGAUUCUCACCCAUUUGGCUGUACACAACUUAAAGAGUUCAUUUUAAUGGAAACCACUGGCAUCUCUUGAAACAAAAUUUAAGGGCAUCAAAAAGCAGCCUUCAGUAGUGUUGGCUCUAGCCCCCUAGCAUUUGCUGUGGGCAAGG